UUUCUUACAAUACACACAAAUAGUUACCACGGUUCAAAACUUUGUUUUUUCUUUACAGGCACACAGUACCGUCAGAAAAGCGAUCAGGCACCUCCCCCAUCAGCGCCAGCAACGAAGUCGCUGACAAGGUGGAUAUGCGAUGGAUGACUGCCUUGACCAGACUGCACCCAGCUACCUCCAGACCCUCAUCUCUCCCUACACCCCCACUCGACCUCUCCGCUCCGCCUGCACUAGAAGACUGGCUCUACCUCCGCUACACUCCCUGCCUCCCGAGCCCGCUCCUUCUCCACCCUUGCUCCGCAGUGGUGGAACGACCUUCCUACAGAUGUCAGGACUGCCCAGUCCCUGACCACAUUCCGGCGCCUCCUUAAGACUCACCUCUUCAAACAGCACCUGUAGAACUCCUCUGUUGUAUCUUGGGACACUAUCACCCUUCAUUUAAAUAUGUUUUAUUUUGCUCUUAUCUGCCCCCUAUUUUACUACAUUUAAUCCUGUACUUCAGAAUACUGUAAUCUGCCAAGUGUUUAACCUGUAGUACUUUGUAUUUAAUCAUAUCCUGAUGUAACUAUCACUAUUUAAUCAUAUCCUGAUGUAACUUUCACUAUUAUCUGCUGUAUUAUUGAAUUGUUUUUUGUCACACUUGAAAAAAAAAAAUUGUAUUUCUUGCUCUUAUUGUAUGACCUGUAUUGUAACACUUGAAUGUAUUUGUA